ncrna:unclassified sequences pemK RNA
AUAAUGAUACUUCCGCCUUUUCUCUGAAAAGGCGGCUCGGAGCGUUCCUCGGAGGGGUGAGAGUCCCAUNN